ACGGGUUAGUAACGCGUGGGAACGUGCCCUUCUCUGCGGAAUAGCCACUGGAAACGGUGAGUAAUACCGCAUACGCCCUUCGGGGGAAAGAUUUAUCGGAGAAGGAUCGGCCCGCGUUAGAUUAGAUAGUUGGUGGGGUAAUGGCCUACCAAGUCUACGAUCUAUAGCUGGUUUUAGAGGAUGAUCAGCAACACUGGGACUGAGACACGGCCCAGACUCCUACGGGAGGCAGCAGUGGGGAAUCUUAGACAAUGGGCGCAAGCCUGAUCUAGCCAUGCCGCGUGUGUGAUGAAGGUCUUAGGAUCGUAAAGCACUUUCGCCAGGGAUGAUAAUGACAGUACCUGGUAAAGAAACCCCGGCUAACUCCGUGCCAGCAGCCGCGGUAAUACGGAGGGGGUUAGCGUUGUUCGGAAUUACUGGGCGUAAAGCGCGCGUAGGCGGAUUGGAAAGUUGGGGGUGAAAUCCCGGGGCUCAACCCCGGAACUGCCUCCAAAACUAUCAGUCUAGAGUUCGAGAGAGGUGAGUGGAAUUCCAAGUGUAGAGGUGAAAUUCGUAUA
rnacentral:rRNA from 1 species